GAUGAAGAACGCAGCGAAAUGCGAUAACUAAUGUGAAUUGCAGAAUUCCGUGAAUCAUCGAGUCUUUGAACGCACAUUGCGCCCCCUGGUAUUCCGGGGGGCAUGCCUGUCCGAGCGUCAUUGCUGCCCUCAAGCACGGCUUGUGUGUUGGGCUCCGUCCCCCCGGGGACGGGCCCGAAAGGCAGCGGCGGCACCGAGUCCGGUCCUCGAGCGUAUGGGGCUUUGUCACCCGCUCUGUAGGCCCGGCCGGCGCCAGCCGACAACCCAUCAUCCUUUUCAGGUUGACCUCGGAUCAGGUAGGGAUACCCGCUGAACUUAAGCAUAUCAAUAAGCGGAGGA
rnacentral:misc_RNA from 1 species